AUUAGGCAAUAAGCAAUAGUUUAAGCACAAACAUAAUCCUUCCAUCAUUGAUUAUUGCUAAGACUAAUUGUGAUUUCCUUUCAUGGCCCGAAUGACAAGUUACUUUUCUUAGAUUUCUACAAUCCAUCUUACAACUGUAUCAUAACAUAAACCACUUAAUUAGUGCUUAAUUAUUUCCUACAAUCAUUUUCUACCUAAACUCAUUUACUGUGAUUCGACAUAUCGUAGUUUUGGGACGCAUCUAUUGUAAAUUAUUUUUUUUCUUGUUAGCUUGUCAAUUAAUUCAAGCAUUAGUCUGAGCUAUCGCAGUGGCAGCCACUGUUCUCCAAAACGUCGUUGUUUUGCUCCGCCACCGUUCUUCCUCCUCGAACCUCCACGAUGUCGAUUUGCGAUUCCGAAGCCUUCAAUUGGCACUAUGGUACGAAGUUCGACGACCAGACCUUUGAUAUCUGCGGCUGCAAGCUCUUCUUCAUCUUCGCGCGUCGGAUCUGCCGCCCUCCCACGGCAUCACGCGCCGCCAUGCUUCCUUCUAAGGGCUCGACCUCCUCCUCCUAGAAGAUAAUUGAGAUAAAUUAAUUUAUAUAAAUGGUAUAAAGAGAUAAAUCCAGAAAAAAUUAUGACAUAGAUGAUGAAGAACUCUCUUUCCUUACCAAUAAGGUUAAAAAGAAGUUAAGGAAGUAUGAAAAUUAUGGCACAAGAUGCAAACCUAAAGAUAAUAAAGAGUUCAAAAGAAAUUCGUCUCUUAUGGGUGUAGAAAGACUAAACAUUUCAUAUGAGAAUGUCUAGAUAUGAAGAACAAGGAAAAAGAUAAAAGAGGAAGAUGGAAGAUGGAAAAAAAAAGUCUCAAGAAGAAAAGGGAAACAUAC
rnacentral:lncRNA from 1 species